CUGAGGUCCAGGUGCAGGCCUCAAAGGGAGACCUGGGCUGGGGGGGCCCGACGGCACAGAGAAGCCGUGGCACCACGAAGAGGAGGCACCAAACCAGAAGGCAAAGAUGGUUUGACUGCAGCGGCAGGUACACGGCGCAGGGUUGUGCAGAAACGGUGAAAGGCCGGACACCCUGCGACAAUGCCGGGCACCACAGACAGAGGGCAGUGUGACACCCCCUAGUCUACCAGCAGCAACCACUUGCAGGCCUCAAGUUAGAGACUGAUGAGCCAAGAGGAAAUAUGUGGCGAAUUACUCUAAUAUUAUUAUUUUAGUAACGAAUGGGAGACACAGAAAUAAUAAAGGUCUUGCUAUA